GGAGUUGUGGCUCAGUGGUAGAGCACAUGCCUAGCAUGUGUGGGGUGCUAGGUUCGAUCCUCAGCACCA
rfam:Ictidomys tridecemlineatus contig108919, whole genome shotgun sequence.